AAGGCUCUCACAACGAGUUUUUGUCAUGGUUAGACAGAUUAAGCCACGGCCAUGCGUAGCCAUAAAGUUGAUAGCUUCCGGCGUAAUGUGCUCGGCAGCCAUGAUCA
rnacentral:antisense_RNA from 2 species